rnacentral:lncRNA from 1 species
CUCGUCAUUUGCCGUCAUCACGCGGAGAUAUUUGCGCUGAAUGUCUUUCACUUCGUGUACAAAACUCUGCACGCUGCGGCAUCGAAGAAGUUGUCCUGUGUUUGGGUGCACGUAUGCGCUUGGACACGGAUAGCCGGCUUGCUCUCAGCGGGUGUUCAACAGUCUACGCGCGCUCGUAACUUGCUCAUGUGGCAAGCUGUUGUUGUGCUGGAGCUGAGAAGAGGUCUGCUGCCUGCAAUGGGUCCAUCUCUCUCAAGUUAUUGCAGUAUUGUAGCUCUCAAGGUUCAAAAAAAGUACGGUGGAAGAUGUUGUCAAGGUUCCGACCAGAAAAGACAGCCAGUAUAAAACAGUCCACGCCACUGAUCUCUACUACAGGGUAUGAACAGCACAUCGAGCGCCCUCGACUGAAGCUGGCCUUGUCCCGGAAGUUGGUGCUUCACAACUUUGCGGCAGCACUUUUUUGCAUGGCCUGUGGAGACAAGGUUUCUUAGACAUGGCCAUGGCCCUCAAUGAAGAUGCCGAGGCCACAGGCAGUUCAUCCAGUGACCGUGAAAAGGUCCCCUGGGGCACUAGUCUGGUUUGGCACCCCCACCUUUCUCCUGCAGCUUUUGUGUCUACUUAGUCAACCAGCAGCAAGUUUAUCCUUGCAAGCGUUUGGAGUCAAGAACAACUUUCACCAGGAACAAGUGAAAGAUGAGUGAUCGAAGAAAAUAAAGUUGCUUCUGUGAUCAAAGAA